rnacentral:rRNA from 1 species
AUGGAGCGGGCGAACACGGAGCUGUACCUGGAGAACCUGCGCAUCAUGCAGGCGAACGAGCGGCUCCGGAGGACAGCGCAGCUGCUGGACCAGGAGAACAAGCAGCUCCUCGCCGAUGUCAAGCGCAAGCAGCAGCACAUGGCGGCCUCCUCCAAGGCGGCGGCGGCGAAGGGCGGCGGACCGUCCGGCGCGGCGCCGUCCAAGUCCGGCAAGCAGCAGCCCCAGUGA